GGCAAGGCAAGGCAAGUCCAGGCCAGACAGGGCCUAGCAAGGCCAAGCAAGGCAUAGCCAGUCCAGGUAAGGCCAGGCAAGGCCAGGAAAAAAAAGGCUAGUCCAGGCAAGGCCAGGCAAGUCCAGGCAAUACGAGGCCAGGCUAGGCUAGGCCAGGCGAGUCAAGGCAAGGCAAGGCCAGGCCAGGCCAGGCCAGGCAGGCCAGACCAAGAAGGGCCAGGAGAGGCCAUUCAAGGCAAGGCAAGUCCAGGCAAGGCCAGGCAAGAAAAGGCAAGUCCAGGCAAGGCAAGGCAAGGCAAGGCAAGGCAAGUCCAGGCCAGGCAGGGCUAGGCAAAGCAACGCUCGGCAAGGCUGGGCAAGUCCAGGCAAGGCCAGGACAGGCAGUUCACGUGCAGGCAAGGCCAGGCAAGUCCAGGCAAGACAAGGC
rnacentral:lncRNA from 1 species